rnacentral:rRNA from 1 species
AUUGAACGCUGGCGGCAGGCCUAACACAUGCAAGUCGAGCGGAGCGGCGGACGGGUGAGUAAUGCCUAGGAAUCUGCCUGGUCGUGGUGGAUACCGCCCGGAAACGGGCCUUAAUCCCCCUACCUAUCGAAUGAGCCUAGGUCGGUUUAGCAAGUGGGUGGGGUAAAGGCCUACCAAGGCGACGAUCCGUAACUGGCCUGAGAGGAUGAUCAGGCAAACUGGAACUGAGACACGGUCCAGACUCCUACGGGAGGCAGAAGUGGGGAAUAUUGGACAAUGGGCGAAAGCCUGAUCCAGCCAUGCCGCGUGUGUGAAGAAGGUCUUCGGAUUGUAAAGCACUUUAAGUUGGGAGGCGUUACCAACAGAAUAAGCACCGGCUAACUUCGUGCCAGCAGCCGCGGUAAUUC